rnacentral:rRNA from 1 species
AUUGAACGCUGGCGGCAUGCCUUACACAUGCAAGUCGAACGGCAGCACGGACUUCGGUCUGGUGGCGAGUGGCGAACGGGUGAGUAAUGUAUCGGAACGUACCUUUCAGUGGGGGAUAACGUAGCGAAAGUUACGCUAAUACCGCAUAUUCUGUGAGCAGGAAAGCAGGGGAUCGCAAGACCUUGCGCUGAUUGAGCGGCCGAUAUCAGAUUAGCUAGUUGGUGAGGUAAAGGCUCACCAAGGCGACGAUCUGUAGCGGGUCUGAGAGGAUGAUCCGCCACACUGGAACUGAGACACGGUCCAGACUCCUACGGGAGGCAGCAGUGGGGAAUUUUGGACAAUGGGGGCAACCCUGAUCCAGCCAUGCCGCGUGAGUGAAGAAGGCCUUCGGGUUGUAAAGCUCUUUCGGCCGGGAAGAAAUCGCAUGGGUUAAUACCCUGUGUGGAUGACGGUACCGGAAUAAGAAGCACCGGCUAACUACGUGCCAGCAGCCGCCGUAACAC